AUAUAAAGAGGUGUAGUUAUUGUUUUCUGGUCUUCUCUAGAUAAACGUUCUCCUUAGGUAGGCUUUUGUUGUGAAAAGGCACAUCUUGGUGAACCGAGGCUCAUUUGCAUGCGUAAGCAAAGUAGAUCAGUCUGCGCUUUUGCAGUGUGUUUACACAGCAGCUACCAGGAGUUGUGUAUGAUAAACUGCAACUCAAAGCAUUAAUAUAUUUAGCAGCUAGUCCAAAAAAGCUUUUAGCAUCAGUGAGAUAUAAAACAGAUUUUAUGAUGUGCUGUUUAGUGACUGAGGCUUCUUCUUCUUAAUAGGCUACAAAAACAAUAUAUUUUACUGCUGUGACAUAUGUAUGUAUACCUGCAUGCAUUCCUGUGGCUAUUACAUCACAUCCUAUAUUGGUCAGGAAGAGCACAAGCAAGCUAUCUGAUUUUGACAGGCAAUGACAGUUUUAUUUAAAAUAAUAGAGAACAUAAAACCAAAAGAACUAAGAAAACCCUCUAUAAAGGCACUUUUUCCAAAGUGACCAUAAAUGUUCAGAUAACUGUAAAAGGCAGCUAAGUGUGCAUAUACAGGAUGUGAGUUUACUGGGAAUCAUUUUAUUGCUAAUAACAAUUUAGUUUGACAGUAUGGAGCUGCGGGUGUUAUCUUUUUUUGUUUGUUUGUUUUUUGUUUAUUUCUUCUGUGCAGGCGUUGAUUUGCCAUAUUGCUUCAAAGCUCAAAUGUGAGAUCUCCACAAUCAAACAGGAUCAUGAUGAUUUCCCUGAAACCUGUCAUACAGACAGCACUGUUCUCUCACUGUCUUAUUGCUCAUAACAAGAGGGUUUUCUUCUCGUCCAAAUAUACACAGGAGUUUGGAAUCGGAGUUACACCGAUAUCAGAAUGGAGUCCCCACCCCUACCUUAGGAUUUGGCGUGUCUUCCUGCUGGUGGUGGGCGUCUUUUCUGUGACGCACCUCGCAAACUUUCUCGCG